rnacentral:rRNA from 1 species
UAGGGAAUCUUCGGCAAUGGGGGAAACCCUGAUGCAGCGACGCCGCGUGAGCGAAGAAGGCCUUCGGGUCGUAAAGCUCUUUUAUGAGGGAAGAUAAUGACGGUACCUCAAGAAAAAGCCCCGGCUAACUACGUGCCAGCAGCCGCGGUAAUACGUAGGGGGCUAGCGUUGUCCGGAAUCACUGGGCGUAAAGGGUUCGCAGGCGGAAUAACAAGUCAGAUGUGAAAGGCAUGGGCUCAACCCAUGUAAGCAUUUGAAACUGUAAUUCUUGAGAAGUGGAGAGGUAAGUGGAAUUCCUAGUGUAGCGGUGAAAUGCGUAGAUAUUAGGAGGAAUACCUGUGGCGAAGGCGACUUACUGGACACAAAUCUGACGCUGAGGAACGAAAGCGUGGGUAGCAAACAGG